CCUCUCCUACGGGGCGCAGCAGUGGGGAAUAUUGGGCAAUGGGCGCAAGCCUGACCCAGCAACGCCGCGUGAAGGAAGAAGGCUUUCGGGUUGUAAACUUCUUUUCUCAGGGACGAAGCAAGUGACGGUACCUGAGGAAUAAGCCACGGCUAACUACGUGCCAGCAGCCGCGGUAACACGGAGGAUGCGAGCGUUAUCCGGAUUUAUUGGGUUUAAAGGGUGCGUAGGCGGGCUGUUAAGUCAGCGGUCAAAUGUCGGGGCUCAACCCCGGCCUGCCGUUGAAACUGGCGGCCUCGAGUGGGCGG
rnacentral:rRNA from 1 species